CACGUAGGGCGCAAGCGUUGUCCGGAAUUAUUGGGCGUAAAGCGCUUGUAGGCGGCACGUCAAGUCGCGUGUGAAAUCCCCAGGCUUAACCUGGGAAGUGCGCGCGAAACUGACGAGCUUGAGUGCCGGAGAGGGUCGCGGAAUUCCCGGUGUAGAGGUGAAAUUCGUAGAUAUCGGGAGGAACACCAGUGGCGAAGGCGGCGACCUGGACGGACACUGACGCUGAGACGCGAAAGCGUGGGGAGCAAACAGG
rnacentral:rRNA from 1 species